GCAGUAGCCGCGGUAAUACGUAUGGGGCGAGCGUUGUCCGGAAUUAUUGGGCGUAAAGGGUACGUAGGCGGUUUUUUAAGUCAGGUGUGAAAGCGUGAGGCUUAACCUCAUUAAGCACUUGAAACUGGAAGACUUGAGUGAAGGAGAGGAAAGUGGAAUUCCUAGUGUAGCGGUGAAAUGCGUAGAUAUUAGGAGGAAUACCGGUGGCGAAGGCGACUUUCUGGACCUUUACUGACGCUCAGGUACGAAAGCGUGGGGAGCAAACAGGAUUAGAUACCCCAGUAGUCCCUGUCUCUUAUACA
rnacentral:rRNA from 1 species